AGAAAUAUAAAUAUAAUAUGAACUUUAAAUACAAAACAAAAACAAACUUUAAUAAUAAAUAAAAGUAAAAGAUUUUAGGUAUCAACACAUUUCAAGGAUCCUAUACAAUAAUGUAUACAACAUCUCAUCAAUUAUGUGUACACCAGUAUACAAUAAUAGCUGUGCAUUCCUUUUUGUCCUCUCGUCAUCAACGUACUUGGUGAAAGUUUUACUUCAUGGAGGGAAAAAUCCAGCUUUGCUGGAUCUUUGAUUGACUCACUACACAGUUUAGGAAAAUUGUCUUCAGCUCUGUAUGAGUUACACGUUUCUGAACUGUAAAACCGAGUUGUGCUUGUUUUAAUGUUGUUCCCUUGUCACAGGAGCAAGCUAGCUGCAGCAGUUUCAGGACUUGGGUGGCUCGUGAAGUAUUGAGGCUCUGUGCCGCAUUAGAUUUGAAUAGCUUCAGACAGACCUCAGUAAAGCCUUUGUACCAGGACACAACGUGAAUUUGAGGUUUAGGUUCCAUAAGUCGCCAAAGGAGGGCGACAAAGUUCUGUAAUGACUAUGAACAGGAACAUGGAGCAUCUUCCACCUGACUGUUUAAUCCCUGGAGCAGGCCACGGAAAAUGUGCCCCAUGUCUUUGUGGCAGAUGACAUCUUCCCCCUGAGAAACGGAGGCUGACACUUCCUGGGAGCAUCCGUCCUUUAGAGAGACAUUUCUUCAAUAAUCGUUUCUCCUGAGCCUGGCUGGUUUUGGCCAAUGCCUUUACACAGUGGUUCUGUAUCUGUGCCCAUCCUGCAGAUGCAGAGCAGUGUGUGAAGAAAACAUGCUUCUCCAAAACUUUAGCAGGUCUUCUACACGACAAACACCUGCAGGGAAGGAGGUUGUGGGCACUGUAGAGGAUUCGCUGCAUGGACUGGAAUGGGUUUCAGAGAAAGCCUUGAGCUGAGAGACUCCUUUGUGAUCCUCUUUUCUGCAGAGGGAGCAAAGCCAUGGCAGCUUCAGAAUAAUGUUCUCUGUCCUCCAAGGACCAACCCACAACGGCUCUUAAGAGCUUGAUACUCUCUAUUUCAGAGUUUUUAGUUUUUAAGGUUUUUCAUCAGUUAAGUAGUUGAUAAGGUAAGUGAUCAAAAAAUGUUAAAUUGUUUUUUUUUUAAAUUAAAGUCAGAACUAACCACACUUGACUGAGGAAUGGUGGAAGAGUGAGGGACGCAGAUGAAGUUCAGGAGAAGGCAGAAAAGGUCUGCUUCAUUCCCUGCUUCAUUUGGUUAAAAAAGACCAUUAUUCUGUGUUUUCCAAAUGUUCUAGAUGAAGCAAAGCAGUGCUGCUUUCAUUAAUUCAUGAAAUUUGACUAAUUCUUCUUUUGUCUGAAGAGGCUACUUGUGCAGAGACGGAAGCAGGCUGAGGGGAAAAUGCUCGGCCUCGGAGCAGCGAGGACGUGGAGGCCGGGACUGGAGCUCCACCAGCAGCUGCUUCACGGGGUUUGAAGACUUCUCCCGGGCUCUUCUCCUCUCACCCCUUGUUGGAGAAACACGUUUUUUAUCAGGAUUGUUAACUUUUGUCAAUUAUGGUUUUUGGUCAAGUUCUGCUGUGAAUCGUCCCUCAGUCACACCAUUUUCAGGUUUGUCAUGAUCCACAGCCGUCUUUAUUUCACUCAAUUACCCUCAGUCUGUCUAUAAAGACUCUUUUAUCCAGGUUGAUUCCAUCAUAGGUUUAGGGGCUGUCAUCAGGACUUUAAAAACUAAGUCCAGAUGACAGCCCCUAAAGAUACUGCUAUGAUACCCUCAGUCUAUUUCAGUGUCUGGUUUUUCGGUUGUUCCUUGUCACGUCAUCUGCUCUUCUCUGCUAUCUUUUUAUUUCUCCAUGGGUUUUUGUCAUGUUUCAGUUUGCUUAUUAAAUGUUUUAAGUUUCUGUCACUAAGCCUGGUCCUCCACCUCUUGUUCCUGACAAUUUGAAACCCCUCAGUUACUGUAUUAAAUCAGCUUUUAAGUCUAUAAAUUAUUGCUAUCAAAUAAAUUCAUUUUAAUAAAAUAUCAAACAAAUCAAUGUUUCUCCUUCAUUUACAUCGAUCAAUAAAAAGAGGUUCCUUAGAUUUUUUUUAAUGUUACGUGUUGGUCAUAGAUCGAGAUGUCACCCUCUUAUGGUGAUUUAUAGAACCUAAGCUUACAAAUGGAGGACAUGAUUAAAGUUCCAUUCAUUGUUUUUAGAUAAUUAUGUUCGGGUCUCUAUGUAAUGCUUUUGGUUAU